UACGUAGGGGGGCUAGCGUUGUCCGGAAUCAUUGGGCGUAAAGCGCGCGUAGGUGGCUUCGUAAGUCCGUUGUGAAAGUCAAAGGCUCAACCUUUGAAAGCCGAUGGAUACUGCGGAGCUAGAGUACGGAAGAGGCGAGUGGAAUUCCUGGUGUAGCGGUGGAAUGCGCAGAUAUCAGGAGGAACACCAAUAGCGAAGGCAGCUCGCUGGGACGUUUACUGACACUGAGGCGCGAAAGCGUGGGGAGCGAACAGG
rnacentral:rRNA from 1 species